rnacentral:rRNA from 1 species
UGGGGAAUCUUGGACAAUGGGGGCAACCCUGAUCCAGCGAUGCCGCGUGAGCGAAGAAGGCCUUAGGGUUGUAAAGCUCUUUCGCCCGCGGCGAUGAUGACGGUAGCGGGAGAAGAAGCCCCGGCUAACUCCGUGCCAGCAGCCGCGGUAAUACGGAGGGGGCUAGCGUUGUCCGGAAUUACUGGGCGUAAAGCGCGCGUAGGCGGUCCACCAAGUCGGGGGUGAAAGCCCGGGGCUCAACCCCGGAAUGUCCUCCGAGACUGUUGGACUGGAGUUCGGGAGAGGAGAGCGGAAUUCCCAGUGUAGAGGUGAAAUUCGUAGAUAUUGGGAAGAACACCGGUGGCGAAGGCGGCUCUCUGGCCCGCAACUGACGCUGAGGCGCGAAAGCGUGGGGAGCAAACA